rnacentral:lncRNA from 1 species
GGGCUUAGAGAGCUCGGUUCUUGAAGGAAGCGACAGCGGCAGUGACCACAACAGAGCCAGAAGGAAGCGGCAGCAGCUGUGGACUUGAAGGAAGUAGCGAUGGCUUCUAGAUCGUGAAGCCAAAAGGAGGCAAAGGUCAGCAGCGGCAACAAAGCUAGAACGAAGCAACAACGACAACAAAGCUACAAGGAAGCGGCAGCGGCAAUUAGAAUCUAGAAGGAAGCGGCAAAGGUCUGUUUCUGUAGUUCGGCAAAAGAAAGGAAAGGAAACAUGGGUUAAACGCACCGUUUUCAAUUUAAUCAAAACGGUGCGUUUUAAAUUCGGGGCGCGAUUCGGGGUGAGUAGCAGCGCUCUUGUUUUUAAGGGAAAAUGCUAUUUUCCCCGGGUCAAACCCCGAAUUAAACCAAAACGA